rnacentral:lncRNA from 1 species
UUUGCCACUGUGCCUUAAGUUUUUCUUAUAUAUAUAUAUAUGUUUAGUAAACCAAGGUAUAAACAUAUAAACAUUAAAUUCAUAAUGGACCAUCUCAAAGAUAGAUCAAAUUAGCAUCUUUAAACCAUAAACCAAAAAAAGGGUUACAACCUCCAGUACGUGUAACUCUAAGUUGAAGAAACUCUAAAUAAAAUUCUAAUGAUUGUCAAUGAAACUAUUUCAUUACAAUUCUCGUGAAUAUGUAAAGAACUUUCAAGAAACAAAACUCUGAUUGAAACAUUUAAAGUUAGAAGCACGUAUGCCAUAGCUAAUAUCCGAACAUGACUGUAUAAAGUUAUCAUUCAUGAAAAUAAUCCACCAACAACAACAAUCCAGUAUAAUCUCACUUAGUGGGGUCUGAGGAGGGUAGUAUGAACGCAGACUUUACCCCUACCCUUGAGUAGAGAGGCUGUUUCCAAAUAGACCACCGGCAUCCUUCCCUCCAAGAACUUCCCACCUUGCUCUUGGGGGAGACUCGAACUCACAACCUCUCGGUUGGAAGUGGGGGUUGAUUAUUCAUGAAAAUAAUCCAAAACUAACAAAUGAAAUCAAGUUAAAGCUUCAGACUUCAUGCUUCAUUCAUAGAGAUAAAAAAUACAUUACAAAGUUAAGAAGAAUACUUAGGCCGCAGAUCCAAAAGCAAACAAAAGUGACGAACUUUAUCCAAACUCACAACUAGCAAACAUAGCUCAAAACGAACAGCAACAUCAACAAUCGAACUAGUAAAACCAAAAAGAUUCAACUCCGAAAAACUUGCAGAAUCAAAAUCAGAAACUAAAGAAGAAGACUUAAAGAAAACUUUUCUUUCUUUUGUAUUCUUUCAUUUCUCUGGCAUAUUUUUCAAAGAACGAAGAUUGCAAAGGUUUUUAAGUUACUCCAACUACUCCCUUUUUUGUUGCUCUCUUUUUAAUGUGUGUAAAAUAUAUUCUUUUUGGGUGUUAGAAUGUUCAAAAAAUUCUCCUUUAAUUGAAAGAAAGACCUCCUCUUUAUAGGAGAGGGAAAACCUUGAAUUAUUAUCCCCAAUCUGUUCAAAGAAUAGGGUUUUUACUAAAAAUAUGUCCAAACUAUUCAAAGGAUAGAUUUUUUGCCAAAUGACAAACUUUUACCAACUAUGAACCAUAUUUGGAGUAUUGUACUCAAAAUAAUUCACAAACAAUAAAAAGUAAACCAAACAUGUACCCUACUUCAUCAUUCAACUUCUACUAACUUUCAACUCUAUCCCUUAGUAUUACUGUCUAUUGAUUUAACAAACACAAAAGCAAAAAGUUGAGAAAUAAACUUCUAACAAUUAAUUCCAUACCAAUGCAGGAAUUAAACUAUAAUCAACAAUUAAAAUAGGCUGACUAAACACUAACUAAGUACUAAAAAUCAAAAAUAAAAUUUUACUAACGAUAACAAUCAAAACAAAAAAAAUCAGAACCUAAAUUAACUAAAUCCAAACUUAACACAAAACGAAAAAAUCAGAAAAAAGAAGAGAUGAACUAGGGUCUUACUAUAACAGGAGACUCGAUUCUAAUUCGAGAAGCGAUGAGAUGUCAAGGAUAUCGAGCAGCAACGAAUUGACCACCAAGUGAACUUUUCAGGUUGGCAGACACCAAAACUAAAGGUUCAACGAACCAGUUUCGAUCUCGGUAUCGUGCCAGCGUGAAAAGCUCACUCAGGUCAUAUUUAGACAAGAGGGGAAGAAGGGAAAAAAUAAAAAUAGAAGAAAAAGAAGAGCUAGCAGCGGCAGCGGCGCAGUAGAGGUGGCCGAAAUUUCGGUCAUUAGAAUUUUAGAUUAAGACCGAUACCAAAUGGUAGCCCUUGCUGAGCUCUAUCUAUGUAUGUAAAAAGUAGGUGGACAGGGUGGCUCAAUCUCCAUGAAUUUGUCAAAAAAUAGUGGCUAGAGUUUUGAUUUAGGCUAGAUUGGUGGAAUUUGGUUGGGAUUGGGAGGAUAUGAGGCUUGGAUUCAUGGAGAGGAGGUUGAGAGGAAGAAAUGAUAAAAUUUUGGGGUGAUUUGGAGGUUGGCCACCACCGGUGGCAAAUUCCAGCGGGCAGCGGCGGGCGGAGCAGAGGCGGCGAUUGAAAGGUGAGAGAGAAGAGAGGAGGCUAGGGUUUUAUUUAUGUGUAAAUGAGGCAAAAAAUCUGAUUUUAGGAAUGUAAAUACUCCAUGAGGGAUCAAAAUGAGGACCAUUGGAUCAAACAAAUAAAUGGAUGAGAUUUAAUCUUGAUUCAUUUGAACAAAGUGACGUACUUUCACCUUGAAACAACGUCGUUUUGAAUUUUUCCUGGCAGCCACUUAAUUAAAUAUGAUAUUACACUCUUAGCCUCCUGAUCAUUUUAAUUUUAUCCUAUUUUCCCUUAAUCCUACUUAUUAAAC